UAGUGGGAUGGGGAGGGUCCUCCAACAUGUCUACUGAUGUCUUUGAAUGAGAUUUGAUAGUGGAUGGCAGGAUGCCUGUGUUUGUGAAUCACAGGGAGGGGACUGGGGAUGGUGACUCAAGAGAUGCCCUGAGAACGUGCCCCCUAGAGCUAUACCAGCUAUUUAUAUUUUUCCAGAACCUGCAAUAGAUGUGCACUGGCUUCUCUGGAGCCAGUUAGAGGAUGUCUAACGCAGCGCUGGCAUGGCCUGAGACAAGAUCCACCCUGGUCAGAGACAGUUCCUUUGGCACCUUGGGCACAAGGACGAUGGAAUUUGGGUCUGGCUCUUGCGCACAGAAGGAGCGAAGACGACCUAAGUGAGAUGAUAAUGGUGAAAUGCAAGUGCACUUUAGUGAGGUCCCAAAAUCCUCCAGGUCUUGGCCUGUGUGGCCUCUUUGUAGAGUGUGCUGACAUUUUUUUUGUAUUUUUGGUAACUUCUUAGUAAGGAGCCUUAUUGUUAUAUUGUUCAGGUUUUCGUUGGGAAAAACAAAACAAAACUAAAAACAAAAAGAACAGCCACAGACAGAAUAUUUUUGAAUGGUAAAACUUGCAAAAUGAGUUUUUGUACAAGAAGUCUUUUCAAUAAGCAAUGUCUUUUCAUUGAGAAAAAUAACCAUAAAACAGCUUUCAUAUUAACUGUCUUCAAUGAACGACUUUCAUUUCAACUUUGCUUGAUCUUUAAUUAAAAAUAAAAGCAGAAACGUCUCUGCUGAGCGGUUGAUUCAUGUUGAAUCUUCAUCUGGUUGCCCUAGGCAGCUUUUGCUGUAAUUACAAUUAUUUUUUAAAAAGAAUCUUUUAACAGUAGAUUAAUUAGAGACCAACUGACUCCUUUAUUCACCCUGAACUCUCCCAGUACAGAGAGCAAACGAGGACGGUACCAGCCAUGCCACCUGGGCCCAGAUUUUGGGUUUGGAGGCAGGAUGCUGCCCUGCCAGGCACAACGGAGACGUUGCAGAGAGUAUUCAAAGCAUGAACUUGUCAUGCAGCCUUGGGUGAGCGGCUCAUCUAGCCCAUCUGCAAGGGGCUGGGUCGGUGCAGGAUGGUCGGGCGGUACGUGACCCGCCGGGCAGAGUCCAGGUACCAAUGCAGGAAAAGGUAUGCUGCAUUUUCAGCCAAAGGACAAAGCAAUGAGUUUCAAAGUAUGUUCUUGGCAGCACCAAAUGCCCCCUUUCUCCCAUGGCUUGCCUUUCCCCAAAGACGCUUUCAUGGUAGGUUUUUAAAAGCUUGUUACCCAAGAGCAUGGGUUCCAUCUUCCUGCUUCUUACCCAAUUCUGCACCUAUCCCUGUUGCUGUUUAUAUAGGGUGAUCGAGCCUCUAUUGCGCUUAAUCUCAGAAGAUCCAAGCUCCAACACCUCCCAGACUUGCAGGACUAUUUUUUUCAUUUGUGUCAGUGGGAUAAUUUUAAUUGUGCUAUAAUGUUCUCCUCAAAAUGAACAAAAAAAAAUCCCUUCUUCAAAUACGACACUCGUGAUGGCAAAAGUAGUGUCAUUCGGAAUAGGGUAUAUAAUAAACACGUCCCUAACAGGGCUUGGUUCCUGCCUGGACUGGGAGGUCACCUUUUAAUUGAUGCUGCAAAAGGCGGUAGCUGAUGGACAGACAGACAGACUACAAGCAGGUGGUUUGGUCUGGUGAUUUUAGACCCUAAGCCAGAGCUAAGAAGAAGUAAAAGAGCUGUUGGACAAACUCCUGAGACGUAUUUUACAAGAAAAAUGGAGUUUUCUUGAAAAUGAAAUGUUACAGGGAACGUUUCAGGUGAAAUGGGAUUUUCACAGAUAGGUGAUGAAAUUUCAGUCUUGACUCUCCAAUUUCGUGUCCACAUCUGUCAUGAGGUAGAUAUAUGUUGUGUCUCAUACAUUUAAUUAUGACAUUGGCACUUUUAGACCAAAUCGGUUUUGAAUGUACAUUCUGGGGAUAGUUUUGAAAUGCUGUUUUUUCUGAUUCAGCAUUCAGCAAAUUGUGAAAUUCUGGGGUGUCCCAGAGGAAUGACGUUUUAUUUUCAAGUGAGGUCUCUGCGUGCUACUUGUCACCAGCCACAGAGCAGGAGGUGUGGGUGCAUUUAUCAUAUGCUGAUUUAGUUGAUAGGUCUCAAGUGAAAGAUAGUAUAGUGAAAAACAGGCUGAGCAUCACCCUCCCUGAGGGAUGCCAAGUCCUGGGUCUGUCUGGUGGUCCAGCAUGUCUGAACUCCCUAAUGAACCACACUGGUUUCACCAGACUGCUCAUGCCCUCAGAAUUAUCCACAUUCCUGGAUGGAAUGUGUCUGGACAAGUGCCCAAGGCUCUGGUACCCCAAACCAUGUGAACUGAAUAUGAGUUUGAGAUUGGCUCCAUUUGCACACAGUUUGCAUUUUAGCUCUUUAUCUCUGGCUUCGCAGUUGUUGCUGGGAUUGGAUGUAUGUGAAUAAUCAUUUUUCCUGUGUGUAAUGUAUCUCCACUCCUUCCUCUGGAGUUUUCCAUAGCUAAUAGGGAUUUCUGUUCUUCAUAGCAUGCUACAAAUUCCCCUUGCUUCUGACAUUAUUAAUAAGUGAGGUCAAAUAGGAAAAUCCCUCCCAUUCAGUGUUAAGCAGCUGUUUAUUCUUUUCACGGACAUGAAAAAUGCCCAGAGCAGAUGGAGGCUGAGAGGAAUCUGUUCAGGUCAGCUGUGCUGUUGUGUUAAUCCAGACUUUUACCCUCUUUGAAGACAUCUCUUGCAGGGAUGUCACAUCCCUGCCUGCGGGGAGCAAUCGAUUCACCUCAGCUAAAUCGCAAAGGCGACUGAGCAGCAGCUCCUUUAGGCUGUUCACCCCCCAGACACACCUGCCUCUCUGCAGCCAUCCCUCUGUCUGUACCCUGGAGCAAUGUGGCUGUAUGUCAUGUGAGGAACAGAUGCUCAGGUCCUCUGCACUGCCUCUUGUCAACCUGGCGAUGCUCGGAGCUGGGUCAAAGGUACACUUGCAACAACACACUGGGACAGAAUGUCCUUUUGCUUUCAGUUUUAUUGCUUUGCUUACACAGACGGAGGCAGUCUAACACAGAGUAAGAGGGAAGGUCUCUAGUCAUGCAGAGCUUAAUAAAAACCAGGGGUGAAGCCCAGGGUUAAUAAGGAAUGGGAUAAGACAUGACUAAUAGAAAUGCAAAAAAACAGAGUGGGACAGGACAAAAUAUACCUUUUCUCAGGGGACAACAGCUACACUUAGACGGGGGCUUGUAUCAGCCUUUACUGCUGUGUUGGCCAUUGAUACAGUGACUUCAGGAGCUGUUGCUCCAUAGCUGGUUGUCUUUGGCCAUGAGCACCUUGUUGCUGUUGUGCUGGACAACUCGGAGCCUCCACCUUGCUGUGCUCCUGCUCCAGCACCUUGCAUACAGCGAGCUGAUGGAAAGCCAGGUCAUGAUGCGUUCCCUGGGGUUUGGGAUCCCGACAGGGGCUUGCACCCUGCUGUGGGUGCCACAGCUUCUCAGUCUUGCCAGGGUUGGGGUCCUGCCAAGGGGCCUCACAUACCUGAAUGUUAUUGUUUGGGUGUCUCUCUUGUGUCUCAGAGGGACAAUUCUGGUUCUGCUCUGCUGACUCUGUCUCUGGGUUCUGAUCACAGUUAGAACCCUGUCCUGGUAUCUCAUUUUCUUGGGCCUGGUGGGUUUUUGGGUCCUGUUUUCGUGUCUCGGUCUCUUCAGCCUUAUGGGUAUUUCUGACGUGGUCUUGUUCCUUGGUGUCCAGGAUCUCACCCCUCUUUGCAUCCCCUUCUGGUGCUUCAGUCCUGUCAUCCUGAUGCAUGUCCCAGUCCUGCUCCUGUGUCUCACCCUUCUUGGUUUGAGGGGUGUCUGGGUCCUGCUCCUGUGUCUCACCCUCCUGGGUUUGAGGGGUGUCCGGGUCCUGCUCCUGUGUCUCACCCUCCUGGGUUUGAGGGGUGUCUGGGUCCUGCUCCUGUGUCUCACUCUCCUGGGGCUGACAGGUGUCCUGGUCCUGCUCCUGUGUGUCACCCUCCUGGGUUUGACGGUCUUCUGGAUCUUGUGUCUCGGUGUCCUGGACCUGAUUGUUCACAUCCUGCUCAGGGACCUGCUGGUCAAGGGAGACCCUUCCGGCUGCAUGUGGCCCCGGGAGCUGCUCCCCACCUGCCUUUCCUUGCACUGUUGGCUCUUGAUCAUCUUCUGGUGCCUGGUGUUGCUGGGGUGGCUUGCAACAAGCCUUGGCCACACGGAAGACCAGGCUGAGCAAUUCAUUGAAGUCAACCCUGCAGUUGCUGUCAUUGUCCAGAAAGCACAGCACCUUCUUGAUGGUUUGGGGGUCCUGGGGGUCCUGUAAAGAGACAAAUGGUGUCUGCAAAGCCAGUGAGCCAUUUGCAUAAUCUCUCUAGGAGCACCUGGGUGGUCUCAGAGCAGAAAUCCAGCUCCACGCUUCCCCCACUCCCUGUGGCUUGUGUUUAUCCCUGCACCGAGCUCUGCGAGCUGCUGGCACUGGGAGAAUGAACAGCCUCUACUUUUCCCUGCAGAUCCUGGGCUUUUGGAGUCAUCUGUACCUUUCCCAGGGAGCCAGGUGUCCUGCAUACCCGCAUGGGACUGCAUGGCUUUACCCACGGUGCUGCACGCUGGGUCCCAGCCCUGCAGCCAGAAGGAGAGCUCAGCAGUGUCACCUUCAGGGACAUCCUCGUGACCAGAAGCUCCUGCUCUCCUGUUGGUAGCAAAGUCAUCAUGAGAAGUCUCUCCAGCCUUACCUGGGCGAGCAGCAGGAGCACUGAGCUUUGGGAGCGCGGUCUGGAGCAAAUCAGCUCUCGGCGGUCUUAUAUACAGUUCAGGGUCACAACCUGCAUUUUCCAGGGUGACCUGAAACAUCUCUCACCUAAUUGCAUUGUCAUGACCCUGUCUUCUUUUGUCUCUUUCUCAUUAACUUCUGCUCUUAUGCUUUUCUUUAGAGUUAAUACGUGAUCCUUCCCAAGCUUGCCCCACCUGCAGACACAUUUCAGAGGAAUUUAACAGAAAAGGCUAUUUUUACCACUGGAGGAUUUAAUGUAAGAUGAUGCCCGAGCAACACCCAAGACUCUUGUGUUCGGCAAACGUGUUUUGUGAGAUGGAGAUCCCCAGUGACUGACACGCAGGGAGGAGGCCACCCGGGAGUGCUUUCAUGGUGAAUAAGGAGAAAACAAAGGAAGAAAAAUGAGGAUAUUGUGAUGCCGAGGUUGAUGUGAUUCCUUCCAGAAACCCCCUCUUCUGCAUCCCCGCAGGGAGGUCGGCAUCGAGCGAAGGAAUCUUUUCGAACAGUGCCACCAGGUGGCACUGGGAGCAGGACAGAGGGCGGCACGGCGGGUCCCAGGGCCAGCGGGCACCGUGCGCGCGGUGGGCUGCGACCACCCGUUUACCAGGAGGGGAAACCGAAGCAUAUGGCAAGGAAAGGACUUAAACUUCUUGUGCCAGGUCUGGCACAAAUCCCUGCUGUGACCCAGUGUCUUGUUAAUGAGGCCACCAUACCGGGGCCCAGUGGGUUGGCUGAAGCCCCACAGACCUAGGUGCAGUUAUUGCUGCUUGCUCAGGAAAUUUGUUUGGUUUUUUAAUUUCCCUGUAUUGUCUUAUUACUCCUCAGCAGCUCCAAAUGCGGUGUGAUAUGAAAGUCAUUUCCAAGGUACUUUGAGCAAGACUUUAAGCUGUCCUCACCUUAGCUAUUUUGUAAAGUCUUUUUUCUUGGUGAACAUAUGGUUAAUAAGAAAGAUGGGGGGAAAAAUGAUGUCACAAUUCCAUAUAGCUUUUAAUGGUACAGAACAUUAAACAUGGCCAUCUUUUUUACUAGAAAAAACACUCUGAAGAAAAUGCCUGGCUUGCUCCAGAGGAGAAGGGCUGCGAAGGGAUAAAUACGGGAGGCUGGAGGGCCAGGACGGUUUGCAGGCCGUCGAGUGCUUUGGAUGUGUGCUGAGUCCUCCUGCACUCAGGGCUCCUUUUUCUCUGGCAGGUUCUGUCUGAGCUCAUGCCCUUUCUUUAAGCUGAAAGGUUUCUGAUCUAUCACGGCUCUAAUCCCAGGUACCAUCAAGCAGCUCUUCUGUCAGGCUGAGCAAGCAGUGCCCAGGGAGCAGCGGUGACCUCCUGGCAGUGCCCUUCUAUUUUUAUCUAGAAAUCUAUCAACCUUUCUUUCACAUCUGCAUGGAAACACACCACAUUCCUCUAACCUGAGGUGUGUUUGCUAUGAACCUUCUCACUAAGCUGCAGUGAGGCAGCGGGGGCAAUUACUGGGGGCUGAAGUAUUUUAGGGUGUUGGUGCUGAAGAUAUUUCUAGCAAAACCGUGCAGACCCUGAGCAAGGCAGUUUCUCCUCUUGUAGGCAAUAACAGGUUUAUGUUGUACAGGAUUUCACACAUGCUUUAUGAAGCGCAAAAGGUUAGAGGGUCAAAUGAUAUGUAAAGAAUUUAAAACUGCUGCAUGGCAAAAAAGACAAACCCACCCCUUUUAAAAGAGCUUGCAAUAAAUUAUGUUGAAUCCAGGGAGGGGAGGGCAGGUGCUUCAGAGACUUGUGCUAAUGAAAUCACAUGAAACUUCAGGGUUACUGCAUUGAGAACUGUGAAAUAGGAGGGGAGGCUUUGCACAAGCUCACACUUGGUUUGCAAUGAUGCUGGGGGGUUUUGAACAGGAUUGAGGCGGGGCUGGGGAGAGUUGCUCUCUGAAAAGUUCUAGAAAGAAAACCUACAGUUUAGAUCACACUUAAAUUUCUCCUGCUGUGUUUUCAUGUGUAGAAGUUAAACUUAGCUAAACCAACCUCACCCAAAAUUCUGUUAUUUGAAAAUAGAACUAGAAAACUGAUGCGUCAUCAGGCAUCCCAGGAUUAUUUCCCUCUUUUUCUGCCUGAAGACCUUAUGGAUCUGUGAAAUUACUCAAUGCCUUGGUUAGCGGGGAAGAAGGGAGGAAGCAGACGAAGGGGGCACAGAGAGAGCAUUGCCAGCAGUCGGGGCUGUGUGGUGAGCAUGUGUCAGGCGGCAAUGGCAGGGAGUGGUGUCGAGCUGGUGUUGGGGGUUCGGGAUGAGGGUGUUUGGGGUCUGGGGCCCAAGAGGGUAGGAGUUCGGUCAGAGUGGUCAGAUUUCUCAACAAAAAUAAAGCAGGAAAUUACUGUUUAUUCCUGCAUGACUGUGAUUGUUCUUGCUUAGCAGGGAAGAGCAGAAGUGUGGGUUAGCACUAAAGAAGGAAGGAAAGUUCUACACUGAAGGUUUAAUGUGAGAAGCUAUUUAAACAUGGGGUUUGGAGAGCUGGAAGGCUUUGGUGCUGGGAUGGUGGGGGCUUGCUCUUGGAGGUUAAAAGAAAAAGAAGAUAUCUGGUUAGUGCCUGUGCUAUGGGACUCGGGUUCUGUCUGUGGUUAUUGCCUUCCUAACAUGCAUCCUUCGCCUUUUCUGGCUGUUGUCUCCUUUCUCUUGCCUGCUAAGGGCAGUGUAGGGUUGCCUCCCUUUUCUCACCUUGUUCCACACAUGAAGCACAAUUCUGAAACUUUCCUAGGUCUGGCACUCAUCAUACGGAGAGCUUUAUCUUUACAUCUAUGUUGUUAUCAGGAAUUAAACUAAUUGGCAUAAAAUGCUUUGCUUUCCUACACUGCCUGGGCAUUUCAGCAAGUUAUUUCUGUUGCAACCUUCUUUAUUGCUAAUUCACUGUGACAUUAAGAAGUGUAAUACGUCGGCUUUUCUCUAAGACGUUUCCACUUUUUUACAUGUUAAUGACCGUAUUUAACAUAUUUCUUCAGAGAUAAUUGGAUUCUAAGGCUCCCUGUGGUAAUGCAAUGAAAGCCAGCUAGCAAUGCCUUUAAUAUCUAAAAGACUCUUUCUGCAUUUGAAUAAUCCCACAAUUAAAAUUAAGAAUUAAUCUCUUGUCUGAAACAAGACUUUUGAGGAUACCUUUCUUGUUUUGAGACAGUUUCAAUACAUACGUUAACUUUACUUACAGAGAAGUUAAUUAAAUCCUUCCUUGGCAUUUGUAUCCUAGAACUUGCAAAGGGGCACGGGUAUCUCAGAUUACCUUGUUUCUCUCACCCGUUGAUCCUCUGUGUGAAGGCAGAAUUUUUCUGUGCUUCAUAGCUUGUCCAGCUGGCUGUUUUAAUUCAAACCAUAGAAGCUAUCAUUGAGUAAAUUAUUUUUCUGAAGGUGCAAAGGAACACACAAGUUUACUUAAAUGGCUCUAGGUCUGGAAAAGGAGAGGAAAUUAUAAUGCGUAGUUAGCCAGUGCAUAGAGAGCACCUAUGAAAUUCUGUAUCUCUUCUUAAGCGAAUCUUUAGCAAUUAAAAACUAAGAAUAAACCUGAGGGGGAAGUAGAACAGGGAGGAAGGUGAGAUGAGAUUAUCCCACGUUUGUUGCUAUGAAGAAUUAUUUCACCUCCUUCCAGUGGCACCUGCUUUGCUCUGUGAGGAUCCCUGGUGAGGCAGCACGCUGUAUGGCAGCCAUUCAGCCAAGAUGUUUGGGAAUGCUGGUAACUGACAGCUGGCCAAGACAAAAUUAACGAUGCACCUACUACUGGUUAUGUCCAGCUCAGAAGACUCCAAGUCCUGCUUUUCACCUGUCGUCAGAAAAUGAGCUUUGACACUGUCUGUAUGUUCCUUGCCUUUCAGCUUCUCCAAGCUCCUGUAGGCUGGCGCUCCUGUGCUGUGCACCACCAGAGGACGCUGCGUGGGUGCAGGCACGGUCAUGUGUGUGCAUGCUUGGUGUGGGUGCCCAAGCCAAUUGUGUGCACGCACAGACACACCUGUACGUGCUUGGUGUGGGCAGCUGGGAUCCCAUCCCUCCCGUCAGGUCUGCUGCCUGCUCCCAGACGUCUUUCAGACGGGCUCCCUGAGCCAGCCACAGGGUUUAGCUUUGGAAAAUCGGCUUCUGGGCAGAGCUCUGACCGUGAAACAGCUUUCCUGUGGCAGCACUCGCAGGCUGGGCAGGUGUAGCAGCCCAGCUGUGAGAGCUCCUCCUUACUUUUUUAUCCCCCUCCUGUAUCAUGCUGAACUCAGAGCCUUCGUUCCUGCUGUGUGGGGGGAGCCGGUGACACGCGGGCAACAGCAGUUCAUUCCCACCACCCACGUGCCCAGGGACCUCACUGCCUUCUCCCAGGGCCAUUGGCAGAGGAGAUGGGCUGGUAGCAUACACGGCAGUCAGCUCAGCUGUGGUCUCUGCUGGAUUGCCCCACUGAAAGACUGAGGGUUUGGUGGAGACCUGAAUCACCUCUUGUGGCUCUGGUGGAAGUGAGUCAUGGGUUGCACUCAUUUUGGCUGGUCCCCUUGGUGGCGGGGCCAAUUUUGGUGCUUUUGCACGUUUGGUUCCUCACUGCCCAGCACAUCAGCAGGAAAAUUUAAAUUAUUUUUACUAGCUUGUUUUAAGAGAAACCAGCAAUUUUGGUCAAUGGCUUAAAGCCUCAGCCUUAGUACUUUCUCCUGUUGGGGUGUAAAGCUGCUUUCUGCUGUCCUGAAAAGCAACUCUGGCUACUAAGAAAUGACCAAAAGAGCAUUGAUGGUUGUGUGUGUUCUGAAGAGUUAAGCGGGGGAGUGAUGUCUUUUAGUAAAGAGUGGGAGAUGCUCAUUUUAACUGGACUUUUCAGUCUCCUUCCUGUGUCUGGAAGACCCUCUGGAACUGGUGACUCAGGCCAGGAGAACACGGACUCCAGACCAGCAUCGUUCACAAGUGCACACGUGCAGCAGUUGACUUGCUCUGAAGUAUCAGCUUCCUAAAAUGACUCACCUGGCUCCAUGAAAUAAGCAGUACCAGCACUGGGGUACUGCUUAUUGUCCAACUCUGUACCAGCUGAGAUGUCUGUGUGCGAGCUCUCAGCCCUGUUGGCCCUGCCUGAGAAAUGAGGUCCUCAGCUUCAGUUUGCAAAGAAUGUUUGGCCAAACCCAGGUUGGAUGGCAUUUUGUCCUUCCCUUUGUCUCCGUAGGAAAGGGAUAAAUUACUAGCUGAUAUGUCAGGAAUGCCACAAUCACACCUGAUGCCUCUUUUCCAGCUGUACCAAUUACACCCCACCCAAUGAAGGUGAGGUGUCACAAGGCAGGAAUAAUGACAGAGGGAGAGGAGGAGAUCGUGUGGUGAGUAGAAUGUGAGAACUGUCAAAGGAAUGAAGAGCUGGGGGGAAGGCAAUGAACGGGCUGCUCGAGUUUUGAAAUGCAAACACAAUACAUCCCCAGAUAGCAUGGGCCAGUGAAAAGAUAUAGCCGGAUCUGGUCCUCUUCUUGCUUUGCAGUUUAUCACCAGCACUGCAGGUCUGGGACUGUGAUCAGGACAUUGCAGCCCAGCCACAAAGACUAUCUCUGCCCCAGAUCGCUCCAAUGAAGGCACGCUUGAUGAAAUUACAGUUGAUGCACCCAACAAAAAAAGUCUUUCCAGGUUUAGUUUUCAUACAAUUCAUGACAUACUUAUGGCCCUGGGUAGACUGCAGAGUCUUUUAAAGAGCUAAAGAAACCUUCACUUUGGUCUUGAUGAACACCUCCAGCUUAAUGACACCUGAGGAAAGGAAACAAGCAUUGGCUGCUGUGCUGGAGGAAAUGGCUCAGUGUCAGGUUUUGUUUUAUUGUCAUUGGUAAGUGCUCAGAAACACCCAGGAUGAUAUCAACAAACUCUGAGCAUCAGCAAAUGGGUGUUUGAAUGUCAAAUGUGCUGGGAUGGAGCACACUGUGUUGGCAUAGCCAUAAAUGCCAGGGAAGUGCCAGCCAGGGAGAUGCAAGUGUGCGAUGAGAAGUUACCUUUGUAACUGAGAUUAUGCAGGAGAACACAACAAUUUGUAACUGACAGUCUAGUAAUAUGGUGCCAAAGGAGCAUCUUCUAAAAAUGAGCUGAGCUUACCUUACUAUACCAGUGCGUAUUGGGUGCUACAUUAAACUGUAUUCCUCUGCUUAACAACUCUGUUGGUUCAUCUUUAGUUGUCGUUUUUACAUCACUAUAGGCUAUCUUCACUAAUGUUUGAUUUAUAGGUGUUUCUGAAGUCUAAUACCACAGAUCUAAUCUAACUCACGCAAGAGUCACAUUACAACAUAAUGGGUGAUAUAUGUAGUUUCAGGCAUGGUAAUCUGGCGUAGUGUCUUAAGAAUUAUGCCUGUUGAUUUAUUUACUGUAAAGAAAAAAAAAAAAAAAGAAACAGUUCUCACUUUUCAGAUUCCU